CAGCUGAGCCAUAAAGGAACCCCAUCAAACCUUUAUUCGGAACUGAUUGUGUUUAAAAUAGGGUUCCACCAGGGUGACGUGGGAUGUGGUAUUAACCUCUCAGAUUCCAUUGCUUCAUCCCUUACACGGGCUUGAUGAUGUCUUCCUCAUAGGCAGAUGGACCCCAGUGAACUAUGCAACACAGCCAGCAUCCAUGGCCAUUGCUUCCCUGCCUUCAACUACAGGGAAAUGGAAUGCGCAUUCACAAAAUGCGACUGUGUCUCACAAGAGAACUCCUGAGGCAUCUGCUGAAUUGAAGCGAACAAUGUGAAUAAGUGAAGCAGGUUCCGAG
rnacentral:lncRNA from 1 species